AAAAAGACCCAGGCAGAUAAAAGAGAAAAAUGAAAAUAUUCCUACUCUGCCUUGACACUUUCUUGUCACUCGUGCUUACAAACAAGAUUGGGAUUUAAACCAUUGACUCCCCUGAUUCUCUGGCCUUUGGACACGGACUGACUUACACCACCACCUUUCCUGAGCCUCCGGCCUGCAGACAGAAGAUCAUGGGACUUCCCAGCCUCCGUAUUAAGACCCUCACUUGGUGGCCCAUUCCAGGGACUCACCUGAGACCUGGGACCUGACCAGCCUCUCACGCCCCAUUUUCCUGCAACAUCUUGACUCCCCAACAAAGGAUCACUGGACAUUUGAGGAAAGCUCCAGCAUGACAAUAACAAACAUAGGUGAUGCAAGAAGCAGAAGAAAACUUCCCAAAAAUUACAAUUACUAUACUCAGAAAGGGGAAUUAGAGUGAGAAGAUAGGACCCAGUUCUGAGGCCAAGUAAUAGCCCCAUUAGGUCAUGCCAGUUACUGGGUUCAAAACCAAACUCCUCUCAGUUCCCCAGACAAAACCAAACUCCUGUGUUCCUCAUUUUGUCAUGGCCAUAGUAUCACGUUAUCAUAGCAUCAUGAUCUCAAUCACCCAGGCCUGAGACCUUCAUCUUUUUCCCUCCCUCUCCCUUUUUAGCCCCAUAUCCAACUGGUCACCAAAUCCUGUUGGUUCUGCCUCUGAAAUUGUCUCACAGCUGUCUUACUAUCCCAUAGUUGCUGCCCUAUUCCAGAACUAUUCAUCCAGUCCCAUUGCAAUAACCUACCACUUAAUCCCCCAUCUGUGACCUUCCAUCCCUUCAUUCUGUCCCCAGAGUUAUGUUUCAUAAAACAUGGGGUUGAUUAUGUUUCUAUCCUGCUUAAAAGCCUCUGAUGGUUCUCUGUUGUAUAAAGCAGUGGUCCCUAAGGCUGGCUGAGUGAGCAUCAAAAUCACCCAAGGAGCUUUUAAAAUUAAAAAAUAUACUGGCCACAGGGAAGUGUUCAGGUAGACCUUCUCCUAUGGUACCCUCUGGUGGCAACUCCAUGCAAUGGCUGACUUUCAUUUUACCCACAAAAUUCCCUCUGAGAUUCUAAUUAAGAUGGAUCUGCCUAUUGGUUGGGGGAACCACUAGCUUAACAAAUAAAGUCUAAACUCUUGGAUGGAGGCAUCAAUCCAUCUCUCUAGCUUUUCCCCCGUAAUAUCUUCUUAUCCUCAUCAUCCUUUUGGUGUCCCAUUCACUCUUCCCUUUAGCCACACUGGACCAGACUGUACUUUCCCAUACUAAUGUGUUUACUGAUGCUUUUCCCCUGACUGGAAUGCCCCUCCUCUCCACCUGCAGGAUAAAACUUUCCCAUUUUUUAAGGCUCAUUCAAAUGCCUGUUCCUCUAGGAAACCUGCCUAAAUUGACCUUAUCUCUCUUUUUUCCUGUGUUCUCAUAGCAUUCCCUACUUCCUCAGGGAAGCCUUCCCAAACUGUAUGCUCCCAUAGUUACUGGUGUUUUGUCUUAUAUGACAGUACUUAAAGUACUUAAUAGUUAUAUACCUAUUAUUGAGAUUAAAGAAAAUGUCUUCCUCUCCUACUAUACUGGAAGUGACUUGAAGGCAAGAGCCAUACCUGUUACCAUGUACAGAGGGUACAUAAUAUAGAUGCUCAAUAACAUUUGUUGACUGGGUUAAUUAAUGGUUUUGAAAUGAUCACAUAUUCUGUUUUGUACUGUGUGUAAUUAUAUCUAUAUAUAUUUGGAUUCCUUAUUCAGCCAUAGGCUUUUUGAAGAGACAGAUAAAAUUUCUUAUUCUCUGUACCACACCCCUAUCCCCACCUAGAUCUGUGCCUGGGAUAGAGUGGAAGCUUAGAUAAAAUUGCCCCAUGAAUAUCCCAGGAGAAUGCAGAUUCCAAGAGAGCCAUGACUUUGUCUUCUCCCUUGCCAUAUGCCCAGGGGCUAGAAUAGUGCUUGGUCCCUGGCAUUUGCUUAGGAAAUAUUUGUUGGCUGAAUGAUUAUAAUUACCAGAUGGAUCCUUCUCCCAUAGUUCCUGGUGGUACUAACCACUAUCUUCAUUUUAUUCCUAAAUUUCUCUUCUCCCAUUGAGAUGUAUUUCCUGUUUGAGUGUGCUAAAGUGUCUUGAAGCAAGGUAAAAUUCUCCCUGAUAAUUUCCUUUCCUAUUCCAUUGUUCGUCAAAUAUUUACUGAGCACCUACCACAUAUCAGACACUGUGGAAGGACUGGUAAGCCCAAAGUAAAAAUAUAGACCCAGUCUGGUUAAAGAGGGAAGUGAACACAAUGGGACGAGGGUCAUGAUAGUGACAUGCAAAGGCUGCUCUGGGAGCACCCCUCAGUGGGCAGGCCAGAAUAGGCAUCUGGAGAAAGUGAUCUCUGAGCUGAGUCUGGAAGGAAGAAUAGAAGUUAACCUGGAGAAUAUGCCAAGCAAAGGAAAGAGCUUGCCCAAAAGGCACAUCGGUAGGAGAGUGUGAUUUAAAUGCAGUGUGACUAGGACUUCCCUGGUGGCGCAGUGGUUAAGAAUCCACCUACCAAUGCAGGGGACACAG